GAGCGCCCUGGUUCUCUCUUCAUACUUCCUUCUUAAGUUAACUCUACUCAUACAAAAAGUACUACUAUCUUCGCAAAUCAUUCACACACAAACAAAAGAAAAAAAAAUAUGGUAAAAGAAUGGAGUACUUGGUUGCCUUUAAUGGCUAUGGUGAUGAUGUUUCUUCAUGUAAAUUUUAUUCAUGGAGAAGACCCUUAUAGGUUCUACGCUUGGAAUGUUACUUAUGGUGAUAUUUACCCUCUUGGUGUCAAACAACAGGGGAUUUUGAUAAAUGGGCAAUUUCCAGGACCACCUAUUCAGUGUGUGACCAAUGAUAACUUGAUUAUCAAUGUUUUCAACAAUUUGGAUGAACCCUUUCUCAUUUCCUGGAACGGUGUCGAGCAGAGGAGAAAUUCAUGGCAGGAUGGAGUCUAUGGCACUAAUUGUCCCAUUCCACCAGGCCAAAACUUCACUUAUGUUCUCCAAGUCAAAGAUCAGAUUGGUAGUUUCUACUACUUUCCUUCCCUUGCUUUCCACAAGGCAGCAGGAGGAUUUGGUAGCAUAAAUAUCGCCAGUCGCUCUGUUAUUCCUGUUCCUUUUCCUUCUCCUGCUGGAGAGUUCUCCAUACUGACUGGAGAUUGGUUCAAACAAAACCACAGUGACCUUAAAGCAAUUUUGGAUGGUGGACAUGAUCUUCCCUUCCCUGACGGGCUUCUUAUCAAUGGUCAUGGAUCAAAUGGUUAUACGUUC
rnacentral:misc_RNA from 1 species